GACCUCAAAUCAGGUAGGAACACCCGCUGAACUUAAGCAUAUCAAUAAGCGGAGGAAAAGAAAAUAACAAUGAUUCCCCUAGUAACUGCGAGUGAAGAGGGACAAGCUCAAAUUUUAAAUCUGUUAGGUUCUACCUGACCGAGUUGUAAUUUGAAGAGGCGUUUUCUGUGGUUCUGAUCAGUCCAAGUCCUUUGGGAUAAGGCAUCGCGGAGGGUGAGAAUCCCGUUCGGUUGAUCAGGUCACUUUACGAUACGUCAUCAAAGAGUCAAGUUGUUUGGGAUUGCAGCUUAAAAUGGGAGGUAAAUUUCUCCUAAGGCUAAAUAACGGCGAGAGACCGAUAGCGAACAAGUACCGUGAGGGAAAGAUGAAAAGAACUUUGAAAAGAGAGUUAAACAGUACGUGAAAUUGUUGAAAGGGAAACGAUUAAAGCCAGUCGUGCCGGCGGGUAAUCAGCCUUUUGGGUGUGAUUAUGUGGAACGUGAGGAGUUUAAUCGCCUUCAUGCCUGCAUAUUCGUGCACUUUGGGUGUACUUGCUCGUGUUGGUAGGUUAACAUCAAUUUCGAUCAUCAUAAAAUGAUUGGGGGAAUGUAGCUUCGAUCUCGUAUUGAAGUGUUAUAGACUCUGGUAGAUGUGAUGAUUGGGAUUGAGGAUUGCAACGGAUACCCUUCGGGGCUACCCGUCUGAUCUCUGAGAGUUACUCUGGUGCUGAAAGCGUGCUUACGGUAUCAAAGUUGACGUUCAAUAGGUUAGAACGGGUUAAAUUCGUUAAGGAUGUUGACGUAAUGGCUUUAAACGACCCGUCUUGAAACACGGACCA
rnacentral:rRNA from 1 species